rnacentral:rRNA from 1 species
GACGGAAGGUGCAAGCGUUGCUCGGAAUCACUGGGCGUAAAGGGUGCGUAGGCGGCUUCUUAAGUCUGGUGUGAAAGCCCAGGGCUCAGCUCUGGAAGUGCACUAGAAACUGGGGAGCUUGAGUACCGGAGGGGAGAGUGGAAUUCCUGGUGUAGCGGUGAAAUGCGUAGAUAUCUGGAGGAACACCGGUGGCGAAGGCGGCAUCCUGGACCACGACUGACGCUGAGGAGCGAAAGCCAGGGGAGCAAACGGG